rnacentral:rRNA from 1 species
GACGAACGCUGGCGGCGUGCCUAAUACAUGCAAGUCGAGCGAAUGGAUUAAGAGCUUGCUCUUAUGAAGUUAGCGGCGGACGGGUGAGUAACACGUGGGUAACCUGCCCAUAAGACUGGGAUAACUCCGGGAAACCGGGGCUAAUACCGGAUAACAUUUUGAACCGCAUGGUUCGAAAUUGAAAGGCGGCUUCGGCUGUCACUUAUGGAUGGACCCGCGUCGCAUUAGCUAGUUGGUGAGGUAACGGCUCACCAAGGCAACGAUGCGUAGCCGACCUGGGAGGGUGAUCGGCCACACUGGGACUGAGACACGGCCCAGACUCCUACGGGAGGCAGCAGUAGGGAAUCUUCCGCAAUGGACGAAAGUCUGACGGAGCAACGCCGCGUGAGUGAGGAAGGCUUUCGGGUCGUAAAACUCUGUUGUUAGGGAAGAACAAGUGCUAGUUGAAUAAGCUGGCACCUUGACGGUACCUAACCAGAAAGCCACGGCUAACUACGUGCCAGCAGCCGCGGUAA